CGCACAUUGCGCCCCUUGGUAUUCCAUGGGGCAUGCCUGUUCGAGCGUCAUUUGUACCUUCAAGCUUUGCUUGGUGAUGGGUGUUUGUCCUGUUUCGACUGGACUCGCCUUAAAAUUAUUGGCAGCCGGCAUAUUGGCCUUUGGAGCGCAGCACAUUUUGCGAUCUAAGCCUGUAUAUUGGUGUCCACGAAGCCUCAUUAUCACUUUUGACCUCGGAUCAGGUAGGGAUACCCGCUGAACUUAA
rnacentral:misc_RNA from 1 species